AGAGUUUGAUCCUGGCUCAGGAUGAACGCUGGCGGCGUGCCUAACACAUGCAAGUCGAACGGGGUUAUGUGAAACUUAGUGAUCAUAACCUAGUGGCGGACGGGUGAGUAACGCGUGGGUAACCUGCCGUAUGCAGGGGGACAACAGCUGGAAACGGCUGCUAAUACCGCAUAAGCGCACGGGACCGCAUGGUCCAGUGUGAAAAGAUUCAUCGGCAUACGAUGGACCCGCGUCUGAUUAGCUGGUUGGCGGGGUAACGGCCCACCAAGGCGACGAUCAGUAGCCGGCCUGAGAGGGUGAACGGCCACAUUGGGACUGAGACACGGCCCAAACUCCUACGGGAGGCAGCAGUGGGGAAUAUUGCACAAUGGGGGAAACCCUGAUGCAGCAACGCCGCGUGAGUGAAGAAGUAUUUCGGUAUGUAAAGCUCUAUCAGCAGGGAAGAAAAUGACGGUACCUGACUAAGAAGCCCCGGCUAACUACGUGCCAGCAGCCGCGGUAAUACGUAGGGGGCAAGCGUUAUCCGGAUUUACUGGGUGUAAAGGGAGCGUAGACGGUAUAGCAAGUCUGGAGUGAAAGCCCAGGGCUUAACCCUGGGACUGCUUUGGAAACUGUUAAACUGGAGUGCAGGAGAGGUAAGUGGAAUUCCUAGUGUAGCGGUGAAAUGCGUAGAUAUUAGGAGGAACACCAGUGGCGAAGGCGGCUUACUGGACUGUAACUGACGUUGAGGCUCGAAAGCGUGGGGAGCAAACAGGAUUAGAUACCCUGGUAGUCCACGCCGUAAACGAUGAUUACUAGGUGUCGGGGAGUACAGACUCUUCGGUGCCGCCGCUAACGCAGUAAGUAAUCCACCUGGGGAGUACGUUCGCAAGAAUGAAACUCAAAGGAAUUGACGG
rnacentral:rRNA from 1 species